rnacentral:lncRNA from 1 species
GACGUUUUACCGGUCCAGGAAUCUGUACGCUUUUUUCAGCAAGAUGAUAGUGAUAUAAUCGUAGCUUUACUUGGUGGCAUUACAGAUUUUAUGCAUUCUGUGAACUCUGACAACUGGAGAAACAUGAUGUGUUGCUUGGCAGAUCAUAUAUUUCAUCUGUACGGAAAAUUUAAAGGCGAAUUAUCUGAGCAUAGGUUUAAUUUUGGUCAGUAAAAUAUUUGCAUCAAACAAAUGUAGCAUGUAGAUAUAUAUAUAUUAUACAUAUAUAUUAU